GGACGAACGCUGGCGGCGUGCUUAACACAUGCAAGUCGUACGGUAAGGCCCUUUCGGGGGUACACGAGUGGCGAACGGGUGAGUAACACGUGAGUAACCUGCCCACAACUUUGGGAUAACGCUAGGAAACUGGUGCUAAUACUGGAUAUGUGCCCCUGCUGCAUGGUGGGGGUUGGAAAGCUCCGGCGGUUGUGGAUGGACUCGCGGCCUAUCAGCUUGUUGGUGGGGUAGUGGCCUACCAAGGCGGCGACGGGUAGCCGGCCUGAGAGGGUGACCGGCCACAUUGGGACUGAGAUACGGCCCAGACUCCUACGGGAGGCAGCAGUGGGGAAUAUUGCACAAUGGGCGCAAGCCUGAUGCAGCAACGCCGCGUGCGGGAUGACGGCCUUCGGGUUGUAAACCGCUUUCAGCAGGGACGAAGCUUUUUGUGACGGUACCUGCAGAAGAAGCACCGGCUAACUACGUG
rnacentral:rRNA from 1 species